GACGAACGCUGGCGGCGUGCUUAACACAUGCCAGUCGAACGGAAAGGCCCUGCUUUUGUGGGGUGCUCGAGUGGCGAACGGGUGAGUAACACGUGAGUAACCUGCCCUUGACUUUGGGAUAACUUCAGGAAACUGGGGCUAAUACCGGAUAGGAGCUCCUGCUGCAUGGUGGGGGUUGGAAAGUUUCGGCGGUUGGGGAUGGACUCGCGGCUUAUCAGCUUGUUGGUGGGGUAGUGGCUUACCAAGGCUUUGACGGGUAGCCGGCCUGAGAGGGUGACCGGCCACAUUGGGACUGAGAUACGGCCCAGACUCCUACGGGAGGCAGCAGUGGGGAAUAUUGCACAGUGGGCGGAAGCCUGAUGCAGCAGCGCCGCGUGCGGGAUGACGGCCUUCGGGUUGUAAACCGCUUUCGCCUGUGACGAAGCGUGAGUGACGGUAAUGGGUAAAGAAGCACCGGCUAACUACGUG
rnacentral:rRNA from 1 species